UACGGAGGGGGCGAGCGUUAUUCGGAAUUAUUGGGCGUAAAGUGCGCGUAGGCGGCUGUACAAGUCAAAGGUGAAAUCCCUCGGCUCAACUGAGGAACUGCCUUUGAAACUGUACGGCUUGAGGCCGGGAGGGGGUAGCGGAAUUCCCAGUGUAGCGGUGAAAUGCGUAGAUACUGGGAGGAACACCAGUGGCGAAGGCGGCUACCUGGACCGGUUCUGACGCUGAGGCGCGAAAGCGUGGGUAGCAAACAGG
rnacentral:rRNA from 1 species